rnacentral:lncRNA from 1 species
AUAAAUGUGUAUAAUAAAAGUGAGAGAAGAAGUACUCCCUCAUUCAGCUUGAGGGAAGUGGCAGUCGCAGCUGUUUCAACCAUCCCCUCUACAGUAUAAGCCAAGACUCUUCAUCCACAGUGGUGUAGAAACACUAUUAGCUGGAGCAUCUAACCAAAGCAUGCAGUACCUUGGUAAACUAUGUAACAAAAAUAUUAUGAUGAAGAAGCCUUGAAAUAGUGGAUGGAACUGGGGUAGGUCUGGAGGGCGUGUGAAAUGGUACAGUUUCUUCCAUGAAUGGAUGAUGGUACUUUCUAGAGUAUAGAUGGAAGAGAAAAAUUUAUUCAUCAUAGACGAUCUGAUAUGGUUAGCUGUUUGAGGAUCGUCUAAGGGUGGUGGUCUAAGGCUAGACAGUCUAGCUAGGGUAGACGGUCUAGUUGGGGUGGGAGAUGGAAUGAAAUGUAAGUUAGGAGGUGGUGGUGGCUGGUAAAGGCUGCUUUCAA